AUUGAACGCUGGCGGCAGGCCUAACACAUGCAAGUCGGACGGUAGCACAGGGGAGCUUGCUCCUCGGGUGACGAGUGGCGGACGGGUGAGUAAUGUCUGGGGAUCUGCCCGAUAGAGGGGGAUAACCACUGGAAACGGUGGCUAAUACCGCAUAAUGUCGCAAGACCAAAGAGGGGGACCUUCGGGCCUCUCACUAUCGGAUGAACCCAGAUGGGAUUAGCUAGUAGGCGGGGUAAUGGCCCACCUAGGCGACGGUCCCUAGCUGGUCUGAGAGGACGACCAGCCACACUGGAACUGAGACACGGUCCAGACUCCUACGGGAGGCAGCAGUGGGGAAUAUUGCACAAUGGGCGCAAGCCUGAUGCAGCCAUGCCGCGUGUAGGAAGAAGGCCUUCGGGUUGUAAUGUACUUUCAGCGGGGAGGAAGGCGAUAAGGUUAAUAACCUUGUCGAUUGACGUUACCCGCAGAAGAAGCACCGGCUAACUCCGUGCCAGCAGCCGCGGUAA
rnacentral:rRNA from 1 species